UACGUAGGGUGCAAGCGUUAAUCGGAAUUACUGGGCGUAAAGCGUGCGCAGGCGGUAAUGUAAGACAGUUGUGAAAUCCCCGGGCUCAACCUGGGAACUGCAUCUGUGACUGCAUUGCUGGAGUACGGCAGAGGGGGAUGGAAUUCCGCGUGUAGCAGUGAAAUGCGUAGAUAUGCGGAGGAACACCGAUGGCGAAGGCAAUCCCCUGGGCCUGUACUGACGCUCAUGCACGAAAGCGUGGGGAGCAAACAGG
rnacentral:rRNA from 2 species